rnacentral:rRNA from 1 species
CAGUAGCCGCGGGAAUACGUAGGUGGCAAGCGUUGUCCGGAAUUAUUGGGCGUAAAGGGCUCGCAGGCGGUUUCUUAAGUCUGAUGUGAAAGCCCCCGGCUCAACCGGGGAGGGUCAUUGGAAACUGGGAAACUUGAGUGCAGAAGAGGAGAGUGGAAUUCCACGUGUAGCGGCGAAAUGCGUAGAGAUGUGGAGGAGCACCAGUGGCGAAGGCGACUCUCUGGUCUGUAACUGACGCUGAGGAGCGAAAGCGUGGGGAGCGAACAGGAUUAGAUACCCCCGUAGUCCCUGUCUCUUAUAU